CUAAUUUCUAUCUUGUGCUUCAAGUAACUAAUUUGAGUACUUUUAAUUUCUUUUUUGGAUUAUUUUUAGCUAUAAUGGUUUAUUUUUUAGGAUGCUUAAGGUAUGUGAAUUAUAAUAUUUUUGCCAAGGACUUCGCUAUGGUGAUAAUUUUGGUAUGUUUGUUUCUAAGGAAUGUUUUAUAUCAAGUAGAAGUGAUAUAUCUUUGUAAUUUGGGAAUUAAAUUUUGUCUUGAUUGUAAUGGUUGGUAUCGAUCCUUUUUGUUUGAUUUUCAAUGUGGUGCUCAUCCAUCACCUAUAUAUUUUUUUUCGUACGAAUGUGCUUUAAAAUAAUUCUUAAUAGAUUAUAAUAAUUAUAAAUAUAAUGUGAUUCAUAAAUAUAAGAUUCAACUAUCACCCUAAUAAUGGAUCUUGAACAAAUAAAUUAUCACAGAUCUAGAAAGCGUACUUGAUGUGGAGUUUAAUUGAGCCAUUAUAAUGAUUGAGAAAGACCCUUUGAUUUAAUAAAUUGAUUUCUCUUUCUUGACCCUUCUUGAUUUACACACAAAAUUUUAUUGAUGGAAGACUUUCUUGAGAUGAUCCUAAUAUUUCUAACUUUAUGAAAGAGAAUGUGUGUGAUCUUAUGGGUUGAGAGAGGACCAGCUUAAAUAUAU
rnacentral:misc_RNA from 1 species